rnacentral:rRNA from 1 species
AUGAAGCCUGUCUUUGGUAAUGAUUACAAGUUCACGCAUGAGGACAUAGAGACAGCCGUUUACAUCCACGGAACAUACGACCCUGUUGAAAUAGCUAGAAUCAGAGACAUUACCCUCACAGCAGAAAAUCUGAAGCGAAAUUUGGACGACAAAUACAUUUAUGGUGAUGUUAUUAUGGCAUAUGCUAGCAUUAGACAAAUUGAGAAUGAUACUACCUCAAUCAUAUCCCCUCAAGAAACCGAAAAGCUGUUACAAAUGAAGGGGGUGGUUCCUGUUGGACGUGCAGCCUCAUGGUUAGCUCGUGUAGCAGGAAAAUUUGUAGGGCACCGAAAGGUGCAUGUCCCACUGAAUGUACACCAAAACCAUUGGAUGCUAAUGAUGUUUAAUUUUGACAAAAAAGAAAUUCAGACUCUGAACUCCAUGAAUUAUCAUUGCGACAAGACCAAGGAAGAUUCUCUUUUCUGCAUUGACGAAGCUGUCAAGAAAGGGUUGAUAUCACCAGCUAAGAACAUCAAUUUUGCCGAAUGGACCAAAAAACGCUAUGAGAACAUACCACAACAGACCGAUGGGACUUCCUGUGCGGUUUGGACACUGCAGUACAUGUUGUCAUGGAACGGGGAUGAAAUGACCGAUAUUUUGAACCAGAAGGAAGUAUACGAUGCCCAGCAAGCAGUUCUACCUGAUGCUUCAGAAGAGGACGUACAAUUAGUCAACAAUCCUGAUGGUUCGAACGAACCUGACACAUCCAACUCCCAGAAGGAUACCGGUGCACCGAACUCCCCCGAAAAUGGUGCACCCAACUCCCCCAAAAGGAAGAGAGCACGUGGACGC